UGUGUUUGGCAAUUUAGGAAC
rnacentral:miRNA from 1 species